ACAGGCUGUACAUGCCAAAAUAAAAACAAAUAUAAGACUAAAAACAAAAGAAGAAUAUGAUAAAUUGAUUAUAAAAAAGAGAAACCUCUGACGACGUCUUUCCAAUAGGCAACAUAUCACUGUUCUUCGUAGCUACUGAGUUCAGCUGCAUGAUCUGAAGACAAUUUAAUGACUAUCACGAAAUACAAAGGGGAAAGCAUCCAUACCCACAUUUGGUGUUCUUGUUCCAACUGGGUCAAUUCGUUUUCCCCAUCAACUAUUAACAAGGAAACAGUAAAACGCGAAUGGUUCCCAGCUUUUUCAUGCUGUUUCCAACAAAUUCCCAAAGGAUUGCAGCCUAGGCGUUUUCAUCACUAUCGCGCUGAUAGGGUUACGUUGUUAUCGCUGAUGUGAACUCGACUUCAAGCGACCAAGGAUAACUCUUAUCUCAUAUAUCUCGUAUUUCAUUGUCUCUUCGACUAUAACACAGAGGUUUGAGCAGUCUAACGAGGAAAGAAUCGAAGUUCGUAUUUAUUCCAUUGCUUGCAUUUUAUAACGGCCCCUCGCUUAAGUAGAGAAGGUCAACUAGAAUGAUCAGACGAAAUGAGCCGACGUUCUGAUUGAAAGGUUGCUACUUCCCAGCACUUUCAAUCUAUACGGCAUCCAGUCCAGCAAAUUUGCAUAGAACUGCUUUGACACUUCGAAAAAUACCUUGGAAUGGCACCUCUUCAGGUAACAGAAUAAGACGAUGGUUCGUUUAAAAUUCAAGGGACAUUCAACACCACCGAGUACGAGAAGUCAAGCCAAGGUGGGGGGGAUUUCAUUUCAAACACAUUUCGGGAAUACUUUCCAUUCAUCUUUCUCUGGCGUCCGAACAGCCAGGACCAUACCGUGCUGAAUGCGAAAACCCCCCACCUGGUUUUGAAUUUGUGAUCCAACUCUCCCUGUCACCGCGUUGCGUUUGCUGCAAGGAUAGUUACGGCAAGCGAACUGCUGUUUGGGCCAACGUCAACGCAGGACAGACGUUCGUUUUGAAGCCAUGCUCUCCGAGUCGAUGGAUGGAAGUCCGUUAAAAUGCCCGCUACUAUCUCCACGUUUGGAAUUGGAACAAAUGGAAAUUCCUUGCACCGUUUGGAUCCACUUUUCAAGAACUGCUGGCGAGAUUAACGCACAGAUCCAAUUCACUCAUUUCUUCGUCAAUCAGUUGAACUGCGAUGUUACAUUCCAUUUCGACACACCCGAACAAGACGAGCAAAUCGGCGCCUAUUUUGCUAGCUAUUUUGUCAGCCAGGAGUCCCGCCAUCGAUGCCUUGUUCCAGGACAGAAUACAAUAUGCGAUCACGAGAGAA